AAUUUACUGUUUGGUUCGUUAUCCGGUACAAAAAUAAUUGAGCCAACACUUGAAUAACGGGAAGCCGAUGCCGGCUUCGGUGCAAUCCUCCAUGGAGGAAUUGCCAUAGAUUCCGGCUAAUGCGUCUAUAAACGCGAGGCUGCCCACCUGUAAAAUACAGGUUCAAUUCAUGCACCGGAGACGGCCGAAACGGUUACUUU
rnacentral:other from 1 species